rnacentral:rRNA from 1 species
CUGGCGGCGUGCCUAAUACAUGCAAGUCGAACGCGACUCUCGUUUAGAUUGAAGGAGCUUGCUCCUGAUUGAUAAACAUUUGAGUGAGUGGCGACGGGUGAGCAACACGUGGGUAACCAGCCCUAAGUGGGGGAUAACAUUUGGAAACAGAUGCUAAUACCGCAUAAAACCUAACACCGCAUGGUGUAGGGUUGAAAGAUGGUUUCGGCUAUCACUUUAGGAUGGACCCGCGGUGCAUUAGUUAGUUGGUGAGGUAAAGGCUCACCAAGACCGUGAUGCAUAGCCGACCUGAGAGGGUAAUCGGCCACACUGGGACUGAGACACGGCCCAGACUCCUACGGGAGGCAGCAGUAGGGAAUCUUCCACAAUGGACGAAAGUCUGAUGGAGCAACGCCGCGUGAGUGAAGAAGGUUUUCGGAUCGUAAAACUCUGUUGUUGGAGAAGAAUGUAUCUCGAUAGUAACUGAUCAGGUAGUGACGGUAUCCAACCAGAAAGCCACGGCUAACUACGUG